GGUCCAUUAGUGUAGUUGGUUAUCACUCAAGGUUCUGAUUCUUGCGACCGGAGUUCGAAUCUCCGAUGGACCU